UCAUCCCACAUGAGCGUGGGGACCACGCCUGCUGCCUCACCCCUCUCUCCGCAGGUGCCGGUGUUGGGGGGGUGCCAGGAGCCGUACCUGGUGUGGGCGGAGUGCCUGGAGUGACACCUGGUGUUGGUGGCGUGCCCGGCUUGGUGCCAGGGGUAGGAGUACCUGGAACUGGCAUCAUUCCUGGGGCAGGCAUCCCCCAAGUAGGGGUGCAACCUGGUGCUAAACCUCCCAAAUUUGGUGUUCCUGGGGUUGGAGUCCCAGGGGUUGGUGGCCUCCCAGGUGGCCUUGGAGUCGGUGGGCUCGGAGUUGGUGGCCUCGGAGCUGCUGGGAAACCUCCCAAGCCAGGUGGGGUCGGCGGCCUGGGAUUCGGUGGUGAGUAUCCAUUCUCCCCGCGGGGUGUUUUGGGGUGGGGGGGAACCCCGCGGGGAUCUCGCUCACCCUGCUCUGCCUUCCCGCUGCAGGGAAGCCCCCCAAACCCUACGGAGGAGCUCUGGGUGCCCUGGGCUUUAGAGGUGAGUGCGGUCCCCGCUGCCAGGGGGCUGUGCUGCCCCCAGUCCCUCUCCCGUCCCUGCGGCGGCUCGCAGGGAGGGCUGACCCGCAUCCCCCGCGGCAGGCGGCGCGGGCUGCGCGGCAGGGAAGUACUGCGGGAGGAAGCGGAAGUAACGCUCCGUCACCGAUCACCUCAUGAACUUUGGUGCUACUGCAUGGUCCAGAAUGUAAAUCCGAGCGAAGCUGAGACACCCUCUCCUCAAGCCCCGGACCGCCCCCGUCCAUCCCGGGGCCGUGCCCGGCCCCGCGUUCCCCGGAGGGACCCCGCGUUCCCCGGCAGCGUCCGGCCCCCCCCGCCCCUCGGUCCCGGCAGGGAGCGCGGAAUAAACUGCGGGGAGCAGCCGUCCCCCUUGGUGCUAUCGCUCUCUGCGGGAUUUGGGGGGGUCUGGGCUGUCGCGCCCCUCCCCAGCCCCAGAGCUGACCCCGGGGGGGGGGGACACAGGAUGGGGGGCACCCCACAUUGGAGGAAGGGAGGGAGGGAGGGUGGGAAGGGGAUGCCGGCAGCGGGGGCUGUGCGGGGAGGGAUGGCCCCGUCAGCCUGGCCCCCACCCCAGUCCCCGCGCCCCCCCGGUUUGGGGGGGUCGCGGGCAGGAGGGGCUCAGUCCCUUCACGUUGCUCACUUUGCUAUAACUGGGUGGGACGCCCUAUACAGAGGGACUCGCUUCUGACAGACUAAUAAAGGACAAGUUUUUAAAGGAUUCUGUGUUCCA
rnacentral:lncRNA from 1 species